CUACACGACCGUACCGCAAACCGACACUGGUGCGCGAGAUGAGUAUUCUAAGGCGCUUGAGAGAACUCAGGAGAAGGAACUCGGCAAAUUGACACCGUAACUUCGGAAGAAGGUGUGCCUUUAGUAGGUGAACCUGUACAAGGGGAGCCCAAUGAGGUUGCAAAAAAUCGGUGGCUGCGACUGUUUAAUAAAAACACAGCACUCUGCAAACACGAAAGUGGACGUAUAGGGUGUGACGCCUGCCCGGUGCUGGAAGAUUAAAUGAUGGGGUGCAAGCUCUUGAUUGAAGUCCCAGUAAACGGCGGCCGUAACUAUAACGGUCCUAAGGUAGCGAAAUUCCUUGUCGGGUAAGUUCCGACCUGCACGAAUGGCGUAACGAUGGCCACACUGUCUCCUCCUGAGACUCAGCGAAGUUGAAAUGUUUGUGAUGAUGCAAUCUCCCCGCGGAAAGACGGAAAGACCCCAUGAACCUUUACUGUAGCUUUGUAUUGGACUUUGAACAGAUCUGUGUAGGAUAGGUGGGAGGCUUUGAAGUGUGGUCGCUAGAUCGCAUGGAGCCAACGUUGAAAUACCACCCUGGUGUGUUUGAGGUUCUAACCUAGGCCCGUAAUCCGGGUCGGGGACAGUGCAUGGUAGGCAGUUUGACUGGGGCGGUCUCCUCCCAAAGCGUAACGGAGGAGUUCGAAGGUACGCUAGGUACGGUCGGACAUCGUGCUAAUAGUGCAAUGGCAUAAGCGUGCUUAACUGCGAGACUGACAAGUCGAGCAGAUGCGAAAGCAGGACAUAGUGAUCCGGUGGUUCUGUAUGGAAGGGCCAUCGCUCAACGGAUAAAAGGUACUCUGGGGAUAACAGGCUGAUACCGCCCAAGAGUUCAUAUCGACGGCGGUGUUUGGCACCUCGAUGUCGGCUCAUCUCAUCCUGGGGCUGUAGCCGGUCCCAAGGGUAUGGCUGUUCGCCAUUUAAAGAGGUACGUGAGCUGGGUUUAAAACGUCGUGAGACAGUUUGGUCCCUAUCUUCCGUGGGCGCUGCAGAUUUGAGGAAGCCUGCUCCUAGUACGAGAGGACCGGAGUGGACACACCUCUGGUGUAUCGGUUGUCACGCCAGUGGCAUUGCCGAGUAGCUAUGUGUGGAAGAGAUAACCGCUGAAAGCAUCUAAGCGGGAAACUCGUUUCAAGAUGAGAUCUGCCGGGGCCUUGAGCCCCCUAAAGAGUCGUUCAAGACCAGGACGUUGAUAGGUCGGGUGUGGAAGCGCAGUAAUGCGUUAAGCUAACCGAUACUAAUUGCUCGUGCGGCUUGACCU
rnacentral:rRNA from 1 species